rnacentral:tRNA from 1 species
GUGGGUGCUGUAGCUCAGUGGUAGAGCGCCUGCCUUACAUGUAUGGGGCACUGGGUUCGAUCCUCAGCCCCACA